rnacentral:rRNA from 1 species
UACGUAGGGGGCAAGCGUUGUCCGGAAUCAUUGGGCGUAAAGCGCGUGUAGGCGGCUCGGUAAGUCUGCUCUGAAAGUCCAAGGCUCAACCUUGGGAUGCGGGUGGAUACUGCCGGGCUCGAGUCCGGAAGAGGCGAGUGGAAUUCCUGGUGUAGCGGUGAAAUGCGCAGAUAUCAGGAGGAACACCAAUGGCGAAGGCAGGCUCCG